UCGUAGAUAAUGGUUAUGAUGUCGCCCUUACGAGGCGAAGGUCGUGAGUUCGAACCUCACUCGGCCCA
rnacentral:tRNA from 1 species